rnacentral:rRNA from 1 species
GACGAACGCUGGCGGCGUGCUUAACACAUGCAAGUCGAACGGAAAGGCCCUGCUUGCAGGGUACUCGAGUGGCGAACGGGGGAGUAACACGUGGGGGAUCUGCCCUGCACUUCGGGAUAAGCCUGGGGAACUGGGUCUAAUACCGGAGAGGAGCCAUUUUUAGGGUGAUGGUUGGAAAGUUUUUUCGGUGUAGGAUGAGCUCGCGGCCUAUCAGCUUGUUGGUGGGGUAAUGGCCUACCAAGGCGGCGACGGGUAGCCGGCCUGAGAGGGUGGACGGCCACAUUGGGACUGAGAUACGGCCCAGACUCCUACGGGAGGCAGCAGUGGGGAAUAUUGCACAAUGGGCGCAAGCCUGAUGCAGCGACGCCGCGUGGGGGAUGACGGCCUUCGGGUUGUAAACUCCUUUCGCUAGGGACGAAGCUUUUUGUGACGGUACCUAGAUAAGAAGCACCGGCUAACUACGUG